rnacentral:rRNA from 1 species
UUCCGGUUGAUCCCGCCGGAGGUCACUGCUAUUGGGAUUCGACUAAGCCAUGCGAGUCGAGAGGGUUCGGCCCUCGGCAGACGGCUCAGUAACACGUGGAUAAUCUGCCCUUAGGUGGAGGAUAAUCUCGGGAAACUGAGGAUAAUACUCCAUAGAUCUAGGAUGCUGGAAUGCACUUAGAUUUAAAGUUCCGGCGCCUAAGGAUGAGUCUGCGGACUAUCAGGUAGUAGUCAGGGUAAAGACCUGACUAGCCUACGACGGAUACGGGUUGUGAGAGCAAUAACCCGGAGACGAUAUCUGAGACACGAUAUCGGGCCCUACGGGGCGCAGCAGGCGCGAAAACUUCACACUGUGCGAAAGCACGAUGAGGGAAUCCCAAGUGCUUGCUCGUAAGAGUAAGCUGUUUUUAUGUCUAAAAAGCAUAGAGAGUAAGGGCUGGGUAAGACGGGUGCCAGCCGCCGCGGUAA